rnacentral:rRNA from 1 species
CGAACGCUGGCGGCAGGCCUAAUACAUGCAAGUCGAACGGCUCUUCGGAGCAGUGGCGGACGGGUGAGUAACGCGUGGGAAUGUGCCCUUAGGUACGGAACAACACAGGGAAACUUGUGCUAAUACCGUAUGUGCCCUUCGGGGGAAAGAUUUAUCGCCUUUGGAGCAGCCCGCGUUGGAUUAGGUAGUUGGUGAGGUAAAGGCUCACCAAGCCGACGAUCCAUAGCUGGUCUGAGAGGAUGACCAGCCACACUGGGACUGAGACACGGCCCAGACUCCUACGGGAGGCAGCAGUAGGGAAUCUUGCGCAAUGGGCGAAAGCCUGACGCAGCCAUGCCGCGUGUAUGAUGAAGGUCUUAGGAUUGUAAAAUACUUUCACCGGGGAAGAUAAUGGCGGUACCCGGAGAAGAAGCCCCGGCUAACUUCGUGCCAGCCGCCGCGGUAAGAC